GUCUGUAAGUCUCGUCACGUGACUCGCGAGAUUCUACGAUAAUUUUCACUUCCGGGUACCUGACACAAGGAACUGUGUAUUGGGUUAAGCAUGUUUCUGGUUUAUACAAAGCUUUCGAGGAAAAGUUAAGUAGUUUUACAAAGCAGAAGGAUUCUCCGACUUACGAUGGAUGAAUUGCGUGUCAUAAAAGCUUGGGUGCGAGUGUCCACCAGGAAAAAUUCGAUCGAAGUACAGGUAAACAAUCAGAGAAUGUCAACUGUUUCUUGUUUAUUUUGAGAGAAAAUGAAGUGUUUUACUUUAUACCCGAAUGAAAUAGAUUCAUAAUCAUCUUUCGCCUAAAUUUGUUAACAGAUUUUUCUCGAAUUCGAGGACGAUAAUGUUAUUACCAGCUGUAUAAUAGAGGAGAAGUUUUGUCAGUGUCCGAAGGAUACAAACGUCAUAUUGUGGCUGCAAUACUUUUGCAUCGGUGCGUGUGAUGCAACUUCCUGGAUGGUGCGUAGACUGUUUGUCAACAUCUGAAACCCACGUGUAUUUCGGGGUAGCAGAAGUACGAGAGAACCAGUCAGUAACACAGAUGAAAGAUGCUGUUGCUGAAAGAUCCAGUCAAGCACAUAAGACUAAACUGACUUUGAAUGAUCAGCCUCCUUAAAAAUGCAAAUCAAAUACAGGUUUUUGUCAGCUUAUCUGGAAAUCUUAGGACAUCACUGAUUUGAUCAAGAACUUGUCCAGUGUGAAGACCAGCCAUGUGCCUCACUUGUCAUGACAUUAUUAAAGCACUUUGUGACAGUGGGAAGAUUGGAUUUAAAACAUGACAUGGCUCUAUAUUACUGCAUCAGAGACCAAUCCAGGUUUACGUAUAAAGCGAAGGAAAACAGUCAAGCAUCAUUUGGAGCUACGUGUACAUAUGUAAC